AUACUAUAAGAAAAGGUCCCCUUGGGAUGCUGAUUUGUGAAAUACACCAUACCCUCAUUUAACUGAUGAGAAAACUGAGGUUGACUUGCUCACUGUCACAUGUUAGCCAGUAAGUGGUGGCACCGUGGGCACUCGAACCUGAAAUUUCUAGCCACACAGCCAUUUUCUUAAUCUUUACCCAACACCGCUCUCAGAGCAAAUCUGAAGACCUAUUUUAUCUGAACAUCAGAUUCUUCAGUUUAAUGAGGAGAUUGGAUGAUACCAUCUCCUGGUUCUGAAAUGAUCUGAUAAAGCCCUGCUAACACAGCAGGAAAAAGGCCUGCUCCUGAGCUUUUUCCCAGAAGCUACCUGAAAACCCUGACAAUGCCAAGAUGUGGAAUAGCAGCAGCCAGCUCUAAUCUUCAUUAAGUAGGAGCUCAAGGUCUACAAUCAGAUCUCAAUCUUGUGGUCAGACCUCCAGAGGUAUUUGAAUAAAUACAUCCACGAAUUCCUCACGUAUCUGGUAAAUAUUAGAAUGUCUGCCUUGCUAUCUCAAAAAAGGAAUCCCUCCCAAGAUUCCAUGUGCCAGCUACAAGCCUCGUCUUUCUUUGCCCUUUCUUACAGGAAACUCCUCAGAGGAGUGGUCUCCACUUGGUACCAUUCUUAGUCUCCCAUUUUUUUUUCUCAAUUUACUCCAAUUGGACUUUGACCCCAUCAGUCCAGAGAAACCUCUCUUGUCAAUGUCACCCACAAACUCCUCGACGUUCCUCAUCUGGCCAGGACUGGAAACAAAUUGUAGCAUCAUGAUACAGAAGAACAGGUUCUGAAAUUAGCAACAACAGGAAGAUGAGGAGAAAGCUACCCUCCUCCCUUCCCUGAAGGCCAGAACAGCAGGUGUGCCUAUUUUCAGAGGAACCCGCAUGUCCUCCCCACCCAAGCAAGUAAACUGAGAGAACGGAUCAUAGACCUGCUGCUUCCACAGUAUAUUAUGCUAUAUGCAGGUACUUUUCUGCAAUCAUAAAAGUUUAUAUUGACAGAGAUACUGCUUCUGAUAUAUCGAUCAAUGACAAAAACGUAAGCUACUGUAUUCACAUCAUCACCUCAACUAUGCAUAAAUAUCACAGAACACCUAAAAGAUAAAAAUACUAUCAAAAAACUGAAAAGAUUUUAGUUUAAUGAUUAUCUCUGGGUCUGCAGAUUAUGGGUGAUUAUUUCGUGGUUUGUGUUUUCAGUGUUUUCCACAAGAACUUUGUAUUACUUUCAUCGACUAUUUUUUUUUCUACUUUAAAUUAAAGCACACAGGAGAAUACAAGUAGGCCACUGGACACAGCAGAAAAUUUGAAAGUAAACUAAUUUGGAUUCAAACUCUGGCUUGACUGCGCACUGUUAUGAGAUCUUGGGCAAAUUUGCCUGUUUCUUCAGCUGUAAAGUGAGAAACAUAAUACUCACCCUCAGGGUUGUUGUAAAUUAUAAGUAGUUACAUCAACCACAGCAUUAUGCACCUCCUUAGACACCUUCUGCCUGCUAGCCUCCCAUGGGUGGCCAACCAAUUACUUGCUCUGGGGGAGCCUCCUUGUUGGCCAUCUCUACACAG